AAAAGAAACUCUCCCACGGUGGCA
rnacentral:siRNA from 1 species